CACGUAGGGCGCAAGCGUUGUCCGGAAUUAUUGGGCGUAAAGAGCUCGUAGGCGGUCUGUUGCGUCCGCUGUGAAAACUCGGGGCUUAACCCCGAGCCUGCAGUGGAUACGGGCAGACUAGAGGUAGGUAGGGGAGAAUGGAAUUCCCGGUGUAGCGGUGAAAUGCGCAGAUAUCGGGAGGAACACCGGUGGCGAAGGCGGCAUCCUGGACCAACAUUGACGCUGAGGAGCGAAAGCCAGGGGAGCAAACGGG
rnacentral:rRNA from 1 species